AUUUGAGCUAAUCCCCCAGCUGGUG
rnacentral:piRNA from 1 species